GUGCCAGCAGCCGCGGUAAAACGUAGGAGGCGAGCGUUAUCCGGAUUUACUGGGCGUAAAGGGCGUGCAGGUGGCUGUGUAAGUGGUGCGUGAAAGCGCUCGGCUCAACCGGGCGAGGCCGUGCCAAACUGCACAACUAGAAACAGGCAGAGGAAAGUGGAAUUCGGGGUGUAGUGGUGAAAUGCGUAGAGAUCCCGAGGAACUCCUGUGGCGAAGGCGACUUUCUGGGCCUGCUUUGACACUCAGACGCGAAAGCAUGGGGAGCGAACGGGAUUAGAUACCCCUGUAGUCC
rnacentral:rRNA from 1 species